CGAGCCUCACGCAAGAGAGGUGAACUCGCCGCGGUGGAACAGCUAACACCGAGACCCUGGGGUCCUAGCAGAGGCCCUCCGGUGGCCCGUGCCACCCCGGGGCGGGCGAGCUCAACGGAGCAGGGCUUGGCAGGGGCAGAGGCGGGGAUGAGCUGGGCCUCUGCGCCCCCGCGGCCCACAGCUGCCUCCCUGUCUGAAUUCCAACGCCCACUGAGCUCCCCGGGCUUCGGGGUGCCCCGUGUCGAGCCCCGCUUGCUGCCCCAGGCGGAGAAGGCACUCUCUUCCCUGCUCUGUUUCUCGCUGAAGGCAGCCUUUGCUGUUUCCGGCCACAGCUGGAGCUGUUUACCAUCUUCCAACUCUCACGAAGAAAGCAAAAACUAUCACUUAGACACAGCCAUUGAAAAUCAGCAUCGUACGUGGAUUUCUUCACGUAAAUAAAUCACACGAAGCGAGACUCGUGUUCUCCGAGUGACGUCAUCCGCUGAAGGCCGCCUCCCCCGUCAGAUCAGCGUUGGGCGCUUUCCUCCUCGUGCGGGCGCCCUUUUCGCAAGACCAGGGCCCGGCCUCGGGCUCGGCCCGGGACGCCGGAAAGGUCCCUGCCUGGGUCAGCCCGGCACGACCGGGUCCAGAGGGCGGAAACAGUUCCAACUCCACAGACUGCUCGGAAGCUUUGCUUUGGAACCAUAGGUUCUGAGGUUGAAAGGCCGUGAACGCGUCCGGAAGAAACGUGUGCAGCGCCCAGCGGAAGGUGAAGGCCCUUUGGGUCCUUCCGGAGCCGACGGUGACGCUGGCUGCGGCGUCAUCCCCUUGAAAUGAACGAGGAACCGGAAAAUCACCGGGAAGGCUCCCAGGAGAUGUGGCGCAUUUGGCCACGAGAAGGGACAAAGUCCUGACCCGUGCCACAACGCGUAUGACCUCGGAAACAUUAUUCUCGGUGAAAGAAACUAGUCACGAGGCCACGUGUUGUCUGGGUCCAUUUACAAGAAGCGUCUAGGACAGGAAAGUCCGCAGAGACAGAAGGUGGAGGGGUGGCUGACGGGGGCUGGGGGAGGAGUGGGGGGGGUGACUGUUGACGGACGUGGGUCUCCUUCUGCUGGGUGAGGACCGUGUUCUGGAACCAGCUGGCUGUACUCAAUGCUAUCACACCGUUCGCUGUAAGACGGUAAAUGUUAUGCUGUGUGGACUGGAUCUCAAUACAUCCGUUAUUUUGCAAAGUCACCGCUGAGCGUGCACGUUUCAAACCUCCGCGCCCAUCUCGAAACCCUUAUUAAAUUCGGGACUGAGCACACAGCAGGUAGGGCAGGUGACGGGGGUGUGCUCCCCGUGAAGGGAUCCGUGAGCGCUGGCCAGGCACCUCGGUGAAGCCUAAAGGCACGGCCCCUUUCCUCGGGGCUGGCUGUGCGGCCCCUUCCCCUCAGUCUGUCUCCUUCCCACCAGCCCGGAGGGAACCCCUACCCGGCAUUUUGCGUUAAGCAUCUCCUUGCCUCAGUUUACAGCGUCUUCACCCAACACAGGUGCAGAGUCGAGCUGCAGCGUCCGUUCAGCACGAAAAUGAGUGAGACGCAUUAAAAUCACCAUAAAAGG